UUUUGCCUAUAACUCGGUCGGUAUCCAACGGAUCGCCAAUCUUUAAGCUGUGGUCGAUAGAUGGCACCAAUGGCUACAAUUUCUUCUUGGACGGCCAUGUCCUCAGAUGUCUGUGCCAGAAGAUAUUCGAGGAACCAGGUUCCAUACCCUGUUUGAGAAAAUGUAAAAUUUUCUUCAUUUUUGCACCAAGUUUUGCCUAUAACUCGGUCGGUAUCCAACGGAUCGCCAAACUUUAACCUGUGGUCGAUAGAUGGCACCAAUGGCUACAUUUUCUUCUUGGACAGCCAUGCCCUCAGAUGUCUGUGGCAGAAGUUAUUCGAGGAACCAAGUUCCAUACCCUGUUUGAGAAAAUGUAAAAUUUUCUUCAUUUUUGCACCAAGUUUUGCCUAUAACUCGGUCGGUAUCCAACGAAUCGCCAAACUUUAACCUGUGGUCGAUAGAUGGCACCAAUGGCUACAUUUUCUUUUUGGACAGCCAUGCCCUUAGAUGUCUGUGCCAGAAGUUAUUCGAGGAACCAAGUUCCAUACCCUGUUUGAGAAAAUGUAAAAUUUUCUUCAUUUUUGCACCAUGUUUUGCCUAUAACUCGGUCGGUAUCCAACGGAUCGCCAAACUUUAACCUGUGGUCGAUAGAUGGCACCAAUGGCUACAUUUUCUUUUUGGACAGCCAUGCCCUUAGAUGUCUGUGGCAGAAGUUAUUCGAGGAACCAAGUUCCUUACCCUGUUUGAGAAAAUGUAAAAUUUUCCUCAGUUUUGAGCAACGUAGCAAAAAUUUUAAUUGUGAUAUAUUUUGAUGGGAAUUUGUUGCAAUAAGUUUCUUUUCACUUAAAUAGUGCUUUAAAUUAAAAAAAGAAUAAAAAAUCAGAAAAAAAUUUCAAUAAAUUUUUCCACUCGAAAAUUUCAUAAGGCUUACCCCUUACGAUUUUUUUGGGAAAUUUUGCAAAAAAAAUUAAAUUGUUUUAUUUUAAUGCCAAUGGGUUGCAAUGAGUUUCUUUGCACUCUAAAAAUGCCUGAAAUAAAAAAAGAGUGGAAAAUAAUAAAAAAAUCAAAAAAUUCAAAAAAAAAAAUGAAAAUUUUCUUCAUUUUUGCACCAAGUUUUGCCUAUAACUCGGUCGGUAUCCAACGGAUCGCCAAUCUUUAAGCUGUGGUCGAUAGAUGGCACCAAUGGCUACAAUUUCUUCUUGGACGGCCAUGCCCUUAGAUGUCUGUGCCAGAAGAUAUUCGAGGAACCAGGUUCCAUACCCUGUUUGAGAAAAUGUAAAAUUUUCUUCAUUUUUGCACCAAGUUUUGCCUAUAACUCGGUCGGUAUCCAACGGAUCGCCAAACUUUAACCUGUGGUCGAUAGGUGGCACCAAUGGCUACAUUUUCUUCUUGAACGGUCAUGCCCUUAGAUGUCUGUGCCAGAAGUUAUUCGAGGAACCAAAUUCCUUACCCUGUUUGAGAAAAUGUAAAAUUUUCCUCAGUUUUGAGCAAUGUAGCAAAAAUUUUAAUUGUGAUAUAUUUUGAUGGGAAUUUGUUGCAAUAAGUUUCUUUUCACUUAAAUAGUGCUUUAAAUUAAAAAAAGAAUAAAAAAUCAGAAAAAAAUUUCAAUAAAUUUUUCCACUCGAAAAUUUCAUAAGGCUUACCCCUUACGAUUUUUUUGGGAAAUUUUGCAAAAAAAAUUAAAUUGUUUUAUUUUAAUGCCAAUGGGUUGCAAUGAGUUUCUUUGCACUCUAAAAAUGCCUGAAAUAAAAAAAGAGUGGAAAAUAAUAAAAAAAUCAAAAAAUUCAAAAAAAAAAUGAAAAUUUUCCUCAUAUUUGCACCAAGUUUUGCCUAUAACUCGGUCGGUAUCCAACGGAUCGCCAAUCUUUAACCUGUGGUCGAUAGAUGGCACCAAUGGCUACAAUUUCUUCUUGGACGGCCAUGCCCUUAGAUGUCUGUGCCAGAAGAUAUUCGAGGAACCAGGUUCCAUACCCUGUUUGAGAAAAUGUAAAAUUUUCCUCAGUUUUGAGCAAUGUAGCAAAAAUUUUAAUUGUGAUAUAUUUUGAUGGGAAUUUGUUGCAAUAAGUUUCUUUUCACUUAAAUAGUGCUUUAAAUUAAAAAAAGAAUAAAAAAUCAGAAAAAAAUUUCAAAAAAAUUUUCCUCUCGAAAAUUUCAUAAGGCUUACCCCUUACGAUUUUUUUGGGAAAUUUUGCAAAAAAAAUUAAAUUGUUUUAUUUUAAUGCCAAUGGGUUGCAAUGAGUUUCUUUGUACUCUAAUAAUGCCUGAAAUAAAAAAAAGAGUGGAAAAUAAUAAAAAAAUCAAAAAAUUCAAAAAAAAAAAUGAAAAUUUUCCUCAUUUUUGCACCAAGUUUUGCCUAUAACUCGGUCGGUAUCCAACGGAUCGCCAAUCUUUAACCUGUGGUCGAUAGAUGGCACCAAUGGCUACAAUUUCUUCUUGGACGGCCAUGCCCUUAGAUGUCUGUGCCAGAAGAUAUUCGAGGAACCAGGUUCCAUACCCUGUUUGAGAAAAUGUAAAAUUUUCUUCAUUUUUGCACCAAGUUUUGCCUAUAACUCGGUCGGUAUCCAACGAAUCGCCAAACUUUAACCUGUGGUCGAUAGAUGGCACCAAUGGCUACAUUUUCUUUUUGGACAGCCAUGCCCUUAGAUGUCUGUGCCAGAAGUUAUUCGAGGAACCAAGUUCCAUACCCUGUUUGAGAAAAUGUAAAAUUUUCUUCAUUUUUGCACCAAGUUUUGCCUAUAACUCGGUCGGUAUCCAACGGAUCGCCAAACUUUAACCUGUGGUCGAUAGAUGGCACCAAUGGCUAC